UAAUGGUACCCACCAAACUCUAUGCCUCUAAGUCCUCAAUCCUAUUGAGAUAACUUAGUUAAGUCAGGCCCAAUGAUUUUAACAGUUUGGAUAUCACAAUUAUCCUAUCGUAUCUUACCAAGAUAAAUAGGGUACUUUGUUUUGGCAAACCUACAUCUAUUGAUCAAAGUCUUGAUGAGUGUUUUUCAUUGGAAGGCAUCUGAUUUAGACUUAAUAAUUUAAUGAGGGAUUUUAUUAAUUAAUUCAGAUCUCACCAAUUUUAAUCUCAUUAAACAUGCACAUUAUUUAUCACAUCAUAUCACAUACAAGCAUAAAUAAAGUGCAAAAUUAAAUGUGUCACAGUUAUGGCCCAAUCCACUGUCAAUCUUUUCAAGCUAAUGAAAGAUUGAAGGUCAAUCUAAGGU
rnacentral:lncRNA from 1 species